UGUAUCAUAAAAAUACAUUCCUCAUUCUGCUCCACAAUAUUUAAAACCAUUACAUUUAUGCCAAAAGUAAAUAUUAAAAGUGGAGAGACCAAACCGUGUCCUUCCAGAGUAAAAAAAAAACAACUUGGCGAUGUGGGAUGACGUCACUAAAAGGUGCCCGCUUUUGGCGCCAUUUAAGCUGCGGGAAGAGUGACCGGCGUCCUUUGGAUCCACAAGACCGUCGUCCUUUCGAUCCACAAGACCGUCGUCCUUUCGAUCCACAAAUAAGGUACCACAGUUGGCCUGUUGAACUGCAGUUUGGAUGCAACCAGAACCGGCUAACCGACUUGUGUGGAUGCAACCAGAACCGGCUAACCGACUUGGCCUGUUGAACUGCUUGUGGAUGCUACCAGAACCAGCUAACCGACUUGGCCUGUUGAACUGCUGUACGUAUGUAUGUAUGUAUGUAUGUAUGUUUGCACACAGCUAACUAACUUGGCCUCUUGAACGGCAGUGUGUAUGUGUGUAUGUGUGUCUGCGUGCGUGCGUGUCUGUCUGCGUGCGUGUCUGUCUGCGUGCGUGCGUGCCUGUCUGUCUGUCUG